rnacentral:rRNA from 1 species
UACGUAGGGCGCGAGCGUUGUCCGGAAUUAUUGGGCGUAAAGAGCUCGUAGGCGGCCUGUUGCGUCUGCUGUGAAAUCCCGGGGCUCAACCCCGGGCGUGCAGUGGAUACGGGCGGGCUAGAGGCAGGCAGGGGAGAACGGAAUUCCCGGUGUAGCGGUGAAAUGCGCAGAUAUCGGGAGGAACACCGGUGGCGAAGGCGGUUCUCUGGGCCUGUUCUUGACGCUGAGGCGCGAAAGCUAGGGGAGCAAACGGG